GCAUUUUCAAAAUCUUCUAAAGCAACGUAUUCAUGACCACAAAGGGUGUGCCCGUAGGCAAAUCUAGGAUUUAGUUGUACAGCUCGUUGGAAAUUUUUAAGAGCAGUUUCAUGGUCUUUCUGUAAACUAUAGCAAUUCCCCAUAGCACACCAAGAUUGAGGAACUAAUCUAUCAGUUGAUACCAGCUCCUGCGCCAGAUAACUCAACUUCAUGUCCUCCUUGAGAUGAAACAACACUGUCGAGUACAAGUCCAUUCCUUCUAAACUAUAAGGUGAGGCCAGACGAGCAAGGCCAAAUGCAUGAUCUGCUUCUUGGUAAUCAACCAUUUCGAAGUAUGCCCUUCCAAUCUGAGAAAGAACCCAUCCAGUGUGAUAAUGUUUGUGUGGUAGUUUGUUAUAAACAUCCAGUGCAUCCUGACAUCUAUAUAAACAAGAAAGUCUAUAGCCUUCCCCAAGAAUCCUGAAAAGGGACAAUAUAUCUGAAGCACCUGAGAGGAUAGAUGUGCUGCUUACAUUAACCCCAGAAGCAGAAGUUCCGGGCCCUUCUUGUUCAAGAGGUCUAGCAUCACCAGAAGGGUGUGACAGAGUCAUAUUUAGCCGAGAAUCAUCAGAAAUGUCAUUGCGAGUCCCUUCACCAUAAUUUUCGGCAGCCCAAGAUUGUGUCUUUCGACUUGUCAUGGAACGUAAAGUCAUUGAGCUCAGCUUCGAACUACCAUAAUAUUUGGAAGAAUGAAUGGUUCCAUUUCCAGAAGCUGCAGAUACAUUUGAAUUUGUGUUUCCAGUAGAUUCUCCCGAAAGCCUUGAAUUUCGUCGAGGGCCAGAAUCAGAAAAUAACCUCCCAGAUAUCUUUCUUAACUUCCCUUCAUCAACAAACUUUCUCCGAGGGGCCUGAAUGGUUGAAUUGACAGUUGAUCGUGGAGAGUUAUCAGCACCAGCCACAGAU
rnacentral:misc_RNA from 1 species